UACGUAGGGCGCAAGCGUUAUCCGGAAUUAUUGGGCGUAAAGAGCUCGUAGGCGGUUUGUCGCGUCUGCUGUGAAAACCUGGGGCUUAACUCCGGGCGUGCAGUGGGUACGGGCAGGCUUGAGUGUGGUAGGGGAGACUGGAAUUCCUGGUGUAGCGGUGAAAUGCGCAGAUAUCAGGAGGAACACCGAUGGCGAAGGCAGGUCUCUGGGCCAUUACUGACGCUGAGAAGCGAAAGCAUGGGGAGCGAACAGG
rnacentral:rRNA from 1 species